UAGGGAAUCUUCCGCAAUGGGCGAAAGCCUGACGGAGCAACGCCGCGUGAGUGAUGAAGGUCUUCGGAUCGUAAAACUCUGUUAUUAGGGAAGAACAAAUGUGUAAGUAACUAUGCACUUCUUGACGGUACCUAAUCAGAAAGCCACGGCUAACUACGUGCCAGCAGCCGCGGUAAUACGUAGGUGGCAAGCGUUAUCCGGAAUUAUUGGGCGUAAAGCGCGCGUAGGCGGUUUUUUAAGUCUGAUGUGAAAGCCCACGGCUCAACCGUGGAAGGUCAUUGGAAACUGGGAAACUUGAGUGCAGAAGAGGAAAGUGGAAUUCCAUGUGUAGCGAUGAAAAGCGCAGAGAUAUGGAGGAACACCAGUGGCGAAGGCGACUUUCUGGUCUGUAACUGACGCUGAUGUGCGAAAGCGUGGGGAUCAAACGGG
rnacentral:rRNA from 1 species